GAACACUUGGGGGGCGAUUGCAAGGAGGACAAACAGUUUUUGUGUGUUGUCAGGUCUCGCUGCUGUGCCAUUCAAGUACUGGACAUUCAAUAAUUUGCACGCGUCAAACUGGUCAACACAGUCGCCCUCAGUAUCAGCCCAAAGUGUUGAAAAGACGGAGUGAUUGAGUAUCGCCAGGAGCACCUGAAUGCAGACAGAUGACAUAGGCGGUUGUGUUGAAGUCGCAGAUUCCUGACAGCAGACAGACUUGUGGAGAAGUCAGCAGGGAGGCUCGUGAGCUGGUUCCAGCUGAGAUCCAACUUCUCCAGAUUUCCUACCUGUGGCUGAAUGUCCCGUAUCUGACUGUGGGCCAACAAUAACACUCGUAAGGACCACAGCCCACUGAAGGCCCGGGUGCAAAUCUCGCUCAGGUUGUUGCCUCCCAGCUCAAGCAGCCAGGUGCCGUGUGGGAGACCCCUGGGAACGUGCUCGAGGCCCUGGCUGUUACAGUCCACCAGGUCAGUGUGUUCGUGACAAAGGCACUGACGAGGGCACAGUCGCAAACACGCCACGGAGGGGAAAAGAUAAGGAGGUGGACAAAAUGUGAGAAGGAGUCCAAGAAGGAUAAAGAACAGGGGACUCAUGCUUCUUGGAGAGACCAGGAACCUCUCAUGUGAGUAUUUAAGUGCACUUCACUUGAUGUUUACACGAAGUCAGCAUUGUGGCACCUGUAAUAGAGGAUCAUAGUUUAGUGUCGUAUCACAAUUGCAAUGUCAACAACCGCCUGUGUCGACGGACAUCAAAAUUUGGCUGUGUCUUUAGAAAGUUUCUUCCUUUGAGACUGCAUUUAUUUAUUUCCAAAGUAAACACAUCAGCUUUCACACUGCACUCUGAAUAAAUUAAUUAUUCUGCCCUCACUACAAGUUUCCACUAGUGUGUGUAGCUAAACAGAUAACAAGUAUCACAUUUGCAAUGUCAACAACCGCCUGUGUCGAUGUGAGUCAACCAAUUUAUAUGGUACCGGUCUGGUUCUAUUUUUUUUAAUGGUUCUUCUUUGCUGUAUUGCUAUCUUUUAGCACAGUUGUAACGAUUCGUUGCAAUAACGACAGUGAUUUCCACUGUUUAAGGUUCUAUUCCCCAAAGCCCAUGUUAAAAAAUGAGUUCCUGCUCUAACAAAAAUGCCAUCAAGCAUUGUCACACUAUCAACAUAUAGGUAUGAAUUCAUGAAA